ACCAUGUGAAGAUAAAGGGAGAGGAUGGGCUGAGAGGUCUACAGGCCAAGGAACGCCACAUAUUGCCAGAAAACCACCAGAAGCUAGGAAAGAGGCAUGGAACAGAUUCUUCCUCACAGCCUCAGAAGGAACAAAUUCUGCCAAUACCUUGAUCUUGGACUUCCAGCCUCCAAAACUGUGUGGAAACUGAGGCCUGUAGUGAUCGAAUCACUUGUCCAAGGUCAAGUUAAAUUAGAGCUGCUCUGACUCCCUGUUCUGUAUUCCAAACCCAUGGAUCUCAUGAAUUGGUAACUUUAAAACUUAGGGAUUGAUACAGAAUUGCCAACUCGUAUGACAGAUAAGAAUGUAAUUUCUAAGACCCAUCAUUCAUAUAUACAUCUGUUCAAUAAAUAUUUAUUGAUCUCUA